rnacentral:lncRNA from 1 species
AUGUGUUCAGACAGGGUUUCCUCUUUGCAACCAGAACAGAUGCCUUUUGAAGCCUUUCAUGUCUGUGAGUGUGUGAAUGUGUGUGUGUCUGUGUCUCUGUGUGUUUCAUCAUGUCUUUGUCUGAGUCUAUUACCAUAUGUUUCUGUCACUGCCUGUAUGUUACCUUGUCCAUGUCCGUGUGUAUACGUCUGUCCGUCCGUGUGUGUGCCUGGUACAUUCACAGACACAGUACAGUGUAGCUCAGACUUCAAGAGCAGAGUAGUAAAAGCCCACUUCAAUAGAGGCCUGUUCUGUGUUCUCAGUCACUUAAAUAGAGGCCUGUUCUGUGUUCUCAGUCACUUCGAUAGAGGCCUGUUCUGUGGCCUCAGUCACUUCGAUAGAGGCCUGUUCUGUGGCCUCAGUCACUUCGAUAGAGGCCUGUUCUGUGGCCUCAGUCACUUCGAUAGAGGCCUGUUCUGUGGCCUCAGUCACUUCGAUAGAGGCCUGUUCUGUGUUCUCAGUCACUUAAAUAGAGGCCUGUUCUGUGUUCUCAGUCACUUAAAUAGAGGCCUGUUCUGUGUUCUCAGUCACUUCGAUAGAGGCCUGUUCUGUGUUCUCAGUCACUUCGAUAGAGGCCUGUUCUGUGUUCUCAGUCACUUCGAUAGAGGCCUGUUCUGUGUUCUCAGUCACUUCGAUAGAGGCCUGUUCUGUGUUCUCAGUCACUUCGAUAGAGGCCUGUUCUGUGGCCUCAGUCACUUCGAUAGAGGCCUGUUCUGUGUUCUCAGUCACUUAAAUAGAGGCCUGUUCUGUGUUCUCAGUCACUUAAAUAGAGGCCUGUUCUGUGUUCUCAGUCACUUCAAUAGAGGCCUGUUCUGUGUUCUCAGUCAUUUAAAUAGAGGCCUGUUCUGUGUUCUCAGUCACUUAAAUAGAGGCCUGUUCUGUGUUCUCAGUCACUUCGAUAGAGGCCUGUUCUGUGUUCUCAGUCACUUCGAUAGAGGCCUGUUCUGUGGGCUCAGUCACUUCGAUAGAGGCCUGUUCUGUGUUCUCAGUCACUUCGAUAGAGGCCUGUUCUGUGUUCUCAGUCACUUAAAUAGAGGCCUGUUCUGUGUUCUCAGUCACUUAAAUAGAGGCCUGUUCUGUGCUCUCAGUCACUUAAAUAGAGGCCUGUUCUGUGUUCUCAGUCAAGAUUGGUUGUUUUCUAAAUCAAACACUAUGAUUUAA